rnacentral:rRNA from 1 species
UACGGAGGGGGCUAGCGUUGUUCGGAAUUACUGGGCGUAAAGCGUACGUAGGCGGCUUUGUAAGUUAGAGGUGAAAGCCCGGGGCUCAACUCUGGAAUUGCCUUUAAGACUGCAUCGCUUGAAUCAUGGAGAGGUGAGUGGAAUUCCGAGUGUAGAGGUGAAAUUCGUAGAUAUUCGGAAGAACACCAGUGGCGAAGGCGACUCACUGGACAUGUAUUGACGCUGAGGUACGAAAGCGUGGGGAGCAAACAGGG